AAUUGAAUAGUUUUCCGAGCUCCUUUGUCUAAAAGACUAUCUCAUGACGGAGGAGCCUGAGCAAACCGCUCACGGGGUCAGUCAGGAAACCAGCUGGCCUUCACUGAUGAAAAGGAAGCAGAAAAUACAGGAU
rnacentral:ncRNA from 20 species